AAAAAACCCAAUUAUGUUAGUGAAUCCCAGGUGUGGGAUAAGAGGCUGCUUCCCGGCAGGUGAUUAUGCUAUGCAGGGGUGUGGCUUUGCCAGCUGCAGACAGUUUCUGCGAGUGUUUGGAAUUCUGGGAACUUUUCAGAGGCUAUAGAUGGCAGAGCCCGGAGAGCGGCUGCUGGUUUCUGUUGCCACUGUUUGUCAAGUGGUCCUGAGAAGAAGAAAUUGGAGCUAUCCUGACGACAAAGAAGGUACAGGGGUGCUGAGUAGAAGGAACAGCCAACAUCUUUUUUAGAGCAAUUGCUUUGGAAGCACAUGGAUGUCCCAGCGAAGGCAGGAAGCACCACCAAACCGUGGCAUCCUGGCUCUGGGAUACAUCACAGCUUCUUGCUCAUUCCAGAAAUAUCAAUAAUAUCAAUUUCUUAAUCUCAGUGGGAUCCCAUGAAACCAGAAGCUUAAAACACUAUUUUGAGGGUCCCUGGCCCCCCAUCACCUGGGAGAGCAUUUUUACCCUAUUUUCCAUAAAUUUAACACAAAAGGGCAUAAGGAGCCAAGAGCCAAAGGUGCCAAGAGCCAAAGCGUUUGCCAAGAUUGGUUUACGGCUUUUAAAUGGCCAACGGUUCACACACAGUCUCUCUGGCUCGGCUUCUCCAGUUCCAGGUUCGAUGAACAGUGGUUCUUGGAAAGCCCCACACUGGACUGCAGCUGGCACACCCGGUUUACAACUUGGUUGUCAGGAUGCCAAACUGCACAAGGUUCCAACCUUCCCAGAGUUGCUGGCUCCGCCCACUUCUCCAUGGAACUGGUAAUGCUCGGAAGUGGGAGAGAAUCUCCCAGUCCUUUAUAAAUAGUCUCGCCACAUCUCCUUGGUAAAAUACUUACUUCUUGAGGGGAAAAAAAAAAAAGAAAAAAAAAGAAAGAAACCAGAAACUGUGAAGUGAAGCCGCCUCCUCAUUCACAACUUCCCUCUCACCUCCUCCUCAAAGGAAGCUUGUUCAGCUGCUUACUGGCAACAAAUGCAUCCUGGGGCAGGUCCCCACAGCAGCCAAUGAGUGCCUGUGCAAACUAGCUCUUCUCCAUCUCCAAGAACUGCAGGUUUCAGAGCAAGUACCUGCACUUGUGUUUGAACAUGUUGUUUGGGGGUUAUUUCUGAACUAUCUACGAGGUGAAUAUGGUGAGUGUGGCCUGGUUUGUGGCAGAUGAAGGUCCCAGAGACGACCAGACCGUACAAAAAGCACACAUGCGCAUUUACCCUAUAUUGGUGGUUCUCAAAUUUCCUAACGCUGUGGCCCUUUAAUAGAGCUCCUCAUGUUGUGGUGACCCCCAACCAUAAAAUUAUUUUGCUGUUACUUUAUUACUAUAAUUUUGCUACCGCUAUGAAUUGCAACAUAAAUAUCUGAUACUCAGGAUAUCUGAUAUGUGAUCCCCAGAGGUUGAGAAUUACUCCCCUUAUAAAUCAACAACAGGGGCCUGGUUACAAAAGACCAUAAGAAUUAGCGAGAGAGAAAGAACAUAAACACAGUCAGGGGCUUUACUAAUAUAGCCAUUCAAUAAAGUCAGUAUUAGCUGAAUUUUUAGAACAUUCUCAGUGGGGCCUAGUUUCUACGUCUUUUUCAUGUUGUAGGCAGUGCAUGGUAAUGAGCCUACUUUUUAAAGGGAGGAAUUUUCAUACAAAAUAGUCCCUAAUUACAUGACUCAUACUCUAUAUGGUAUUGUACCAAAGAAACAGAGAGAAAAUUCGUUUCAUCGCCUUGACUUCACACAGAAUGCUGUCCCAGGCAGGAGAACCCAAAGGACACCCAUUACAUUUAAUUGUUGUCUUACAUGGCUUUCGGAUCUGAUAGUGUCUCCUGGGCUAGGGAGAGAGAAUAUUUUUCCUCUCCAGUGCUGCAGCCAGUGUCUGAACAGCAGUUGCCCGGGCAUGGCUCAGAAGAAGGGCUGGCGCAUAGGGCAGGCCAGCAGCAUCUACCCUGGGUACAAGUGGAGGUGGGACAGCCACCUACCUCUUUGCCUUGCAAGUGGACAUUAAUGAGAUGAUUUUUUUUUUCUUUCGAAACAUCAGGAUUUUACUUCUGGCCAUGGUAGGAUGUGGGGAAGGAAGAGGGUGUGGAUGGGUGUCUACUGAGUUACUGACCUAGAUCAGGGGUCACACUACCUUUCUGCAAAGGCUCAGAAUAGUUUGGACCUUCCAGAAGAAAAGAAAUUGUCUCAGCUGUGACGCAGUCUACUACUAUGUCGGGGAAGCAGCUGGAGACAAUGUGUUCAUAUGCGAACAUGGCUAUAUGCUAAUAACAUUCAUUUACCAUUUAAAGGCUGUGGCUGACCCUGCACAUAAUUAUGAGAAACAGAGAGAGGAGAUAAAACAUGGAAGAAACAAGAAAGUGGAAUGAGGAGGAUGGUUUGGUAUGGAAAGGGGAUUUGGGGCAUCUCUGGAACAUUCCUUUUGAAGUAACAGAGACCCACUCAGAAUUGGGACUUAGUGUUCCUUUAGGCUAAUGGUCUGCUGGAAGCCUCGGGUGCAAACAAGACAUUGUGCUCACCUGAAGUGGUUCAAGAGCCAAGGGGCUCCAGAAGGCAUUGACUUGUUUGUGUGAAACUUUCCCCUAUUGAGCAAGACAAGGCUCUUGUUGAAAAGCAAAUGGCCUCCACCAACCAAUGCAUUGAAUACAAUCAAUGGCACUUGGGAUGCAUUCAACACAAUCAACAGCACUUAGGGACUUGAAGAGUUAAGAUAGGGCAGGGCUUCAUGGAAUGAAAUAUGUGUUUUGAAAAAAAAAGUGAUGUAAAACAGGGAAAUGAAAUUCUCAAAGAAGCAGGGUUUAUGACACUACACAGGCGGGUCUGAGUAGCUGGAUAAACAGAGGCAGCUGUCCUGAGAGGGAGGCCAGGGGCUGUGUGAGGUUCUGGCAAUAAGACAGAGCCAUGGAUAAAGAGGACUCCAAGAAGGAGAGGCAGAGGAUGGGAAGACUGACUUCUCUCUUAUCCGUGGGGCACUGCUAUGAGUGUGCAUCUGCAAAGAGACACUAGCGAGAAGCUCAGGGCUCAUCCACAAGCUCUAGCAAGCCUAGGUUAAAAUCCCACUUGGGUCAUAACCUUAAGGGAAUUAUUUCACCCCAUCAAGGUUCUGGCUUGCCACCUGUGAAAUACAGAGGAAAUUUCCUCCUCUCUAAGACUUCGUGAAGAACACGUGUGCAGAUUCAGAGAGACAGCCCUUGGGCAAUGACGGGCUUUCCGUAAAGAACUCAAGCGAUCACCAGUCCACUACAUCAGCUGUUACCACAGGGACCUGGUUUUGGCCUAUCACUGGCAGAAGCCGAAAAAGGAAAAUGGGAGUAGGUUACUUGUGAAUUCUGGACUGAUCUUUACUCUGGAGGCAGAACUCUAAACUUCUUUUGUCAUGUUGGAGAGGCAAUCUACUGGGCUAUAGAUAAAUUUCCAAAAAAAAAAAAAAAAAGUACAAAAAUGAAAACCAACUCAAGCAGAGAGUUGGGGACACGAGCCCUACGUGUCUGCGUGUGCCGUGGAAAGUUGUGAUGAGGAGGAAGCAGGGAGUUUACCCUGUGUCAUCAGCCUUUGACAAGAUGACAAGAGGAAAAUAAUGAGGAGGUCCCUUCUAGACAGCGAGGGUCUCAUGGGGUGGUUCUGUUGCCAGUGGCAUCUAUCACCUUUCCUGAUGUGCAAACCCUGGUGUUCCUUUUUUAGUCUCCACUCUCCUCAACUCCUCACUCUGGAAGGAAUCUUGUUUAGCACACGCCAGUUAGCAUGUGAAUGGACCUGGGACAUAAGGCAACCCAUCAGAGAGAAUGUGAGCCUAUCGCUUAGAAUUCUGGGAGGUGGGUCUAUUUACCCUUUCUUCCCUGUAUAGGAACAGCUUAACUACAGUGUCCGUGAUGUUAUAAAGGAGGACAAACUGGUCAGAGAGAUCGCCUGAAGGAAGUACAGAGCAAAGGGAGUCGAGGGCCCGUUGUUGACCUCUUGAUGAAACUUUGUCUGAAGUAGACAACUCAGUUCUGUGAGCCAAUAACCAUCUCUUACUGUUGAAGCCAGUGUAAAUUGUGGUUGCCUCCACUUUCAAAAUCCCCAGAAGCUCCAGACAGUGACCUCCAAACUCCACCCUUUCCUCAAAAAGAUCACACUUCCUGAAAACAAAUGCUAUUUCCCAGGACACAGAAGAGACCCUGGCUUCCUGCCCUCAGGUUCUGUGGCAGAGGGGUAAAGGCCCACCCUUUCGGCAGCUCCCCACCUUCUCCUCUGAGGACGACGUUUAUUCUUGACCAGGUCCCUCUAUCACAACAGCACUCUGAUGACAACUUAGUGUCUACCCAAUUGAACUAACAUGGAGUUCUAAAAGCAGCUCUGAAAACCAGGCAACUCCCACGCCCUUCGGAUGUCACAGAGUGCGUGGGGGAGUGGCUGAGGGUGUGAACUCAAGGCAGUCUAGGGGAACAUGGGUGUGUGAGUGAGUGUGUGUGGCAGUGUACAGCGUGCAAGCCAGUGUUCCGGAAUGUGUGUAGCCCAGGAGGGUCCGAGCGUGCCUGAGUGUGUAUACUGUGUGUACCCUGUGAGGCAAUAGCCUCUGAGAAAAUGCUGCCCCUAGGGGUAGACCACCAAACAUAUACUCAAAAGAGAAAGGAAGCAGGUAGGGCGUAGACAUGAGCACCGAGAAGCAACACAGCCUGGUAUCUGACCCACAAGGCACACUGUCCACUUUUUGCAGUACUGGGAAUGAAACUCAGGAUAUCACACAUGCCAGGUAAAUAGCCUACCACUGAGGUACACCUCAGAGGCAUCCUGUCCUCUUUUAACGAGUAAUGCUUGAAAGGUCAUGGAAGGGGGCAGGCUGGAGAGCAACUGGGUUUUUGUUGCUGCUAUUCCGUGCCUACUUUUAAAUUGUAAAGGAAAGCACUGGUGUUUGGAACCCUCUAGUCAGCAUUCUAGAAAAGGAGUCACCUAGGUUCGAUUCACAAAUCCUGCAGGCUGGCUCCUCAGAGACAGCUCGGGAUAGCCUAUCUGACUGACAGGGAACAUUGUCAUUAAUCUCUCGGCGAUGCCACAUGUCAUUCAUCUCUCAGUGGUGCCACAUGGUGGUGACAGUUCAGGACUCUCAGAAGACUGAUUUAAACCCAAAGCCGCCACACGAGCUAUCCACAUUUCCUGGUGGUCUUUCUGGCAGCUUCUAAUUCUUAGGCUAUCUGUGCUACCAUCACUCUUCCGCAUAUGUGCUGUGGAUUCUCUAUUGGCCGCUUUUGCUUGGGGAAAGUUUAACUCAUGGCUGGUUUAACUUUUCACUGCCCCAAGACUCUUAACUCAUGAAAGGCACACACAGGACCUCUGCCUGGAGCAAGGUGUGCCCAAUUAAACGAGUCUAAGUAACACCAUUCAUACCUGGGGCAGACAGGAAGAGACAGCAUGGCUUCCUAAACUGACUUCUCAUCCCACGGGAUGUGAGUCACCCUAGGCCUGAUCCCUCAGCAAAGUGAAUCUCUUUGUCAGGAGCAUGGAGAAAAACUAUGUGAUGCACAAGAAAGUCUCUACCUCCAAAACUGAGCCUGUGCACCUUCCUGGGGUCACUUUGAACCAUCCAGGAGUAAAGGGGUGAGAUGUUGACACUAUGCUUGAUAUAAACCAAAUCAGAACAAAUGCUUGACUCAGGAUUUAAAAUUUUCCAUUUUUUAAACCAGAGUUUUGUGAGUAAGUGAUGGAGUGCUCAUACAUAUAUCAGAAAUAUUACACACUUGAUCUAGUUAGACAGGUGGCACUUUUCUUUAGAUAAAGGUGACAGUGGAAGUUUACUGGGGUUUUGACCGUGUCCCAAGUACUAUGCUAAUCACUUUCCAUUUAUUAAGUCUCUGAGAGACACAUAUUGUUAUCCUCACUGUCAGACGUGUAGACAGUAGGAAGGGAGAGGGAAAAGGAGACAUAGAGAGGGAGAGAAAAAGAGGGAGAGAGAGAGAAAGGAGGAUGAGGAGGAGGGAGAAAAGGGGGGGAGGAGGUGGUGGGAGGGAGAUGGGGAGGCGGAGGAGGAGGAGGAAAACAUUAGGACUCAGACAAGGUUUCCCUAGAUCCCAGCUGCCUGGCUCAUAACCCAUGCUAACUGGCUGACUCAGUGGAAACAUAAAUUUAAACAACCCUUUCAAAUCAGAACUGAGGAAAGAUGAGCUGAAGAUCCCUGAUAUCACAAGAAAGGGACACCUGGAAUUUGGAGAAGUUGUCACUGACAUUUCACCACGGAAACCCACAAAGUGUCUAUUUUCAGGAUCCCUGUUCUCUUGAAAGCCCCAAAGUUAGUGAGAAUAAGCAGAAGCAGGGAGAAACAAGAUAAGGGUAGUGGAAUGUGGAUUUCCUGGAGUGGACAGUCCCUUGUUUAAUGGCCUCCCCUCCUUCUAAUGGUCAAAGGGAAUCUAUCUGGUUAAGUGUCUCUUGAAAUACAAAGGACCAGAGUGAGAUGAAUGGUGUCUCCAUAGAUUCAGACCAUUCCACAUGUUGAUUUUCUCUUCAUUUAGAAAUUAGUCUCGCCAUCAUUUAAGGUAUAUUGUAGGAAAGAGUUAACCUGUUUGAAUGCUAUAAGGGGUGGAUCCAGUGACAGAGCUGAGAGGGUGCCAGUGACAAGUUCCACAGCCUCCCCAGAUUCCCCAAUUUCAAUGGGGAGGUUCACAGGCUAUCAACAUCAAUGGUGGGUCAACGUUAACAUGAUGUCCUCUUUGGUCCCACUGCUACUCCUAUCUCUGCAGUAAUUCCCAUGGCAACUACUAUCCUCUAAUACCUCGUGCAGUGAUUGGCAUAUAUGAUAUACAAUAGUCACUUAUUGAAGGGUGGAUUAAAGUCGCACAACUGUAUUAAUACUUGAGAUCACCAACACCAAUCAGAGUAAUUAUUAUUUACUGAGUACUUACAGGCUGUUUACACAAAGGUCAAUUUCAGCUCCCCUCCCUGUGACUAUAAUGUAGGCCUUGUCUGAUCAUCUCCAGGUUACAAAGGCACAGGGAUGUUAAGAAACUGAUUCAAGGUAACUUAGGUCAGAUUUGACUCUGGGCAAUUUGAUGUUCCAGUCAGAUCUCCCAGCCUUGUACCAAAACUCCUGUCAGAAGGCAAUUAAGUGUCCUGCCUACUUCUCAAAUCCAUCCCCACCAUCCGCCCCGCUCCAGAACUACACUGGUAGAGUCAGUCGCACGUCACCGAAAUCCUGCUUUAUAACCAGGUCUCCCCAGAUGUCUUCAGAUUCUAAGACAAUAAAUAUGCAAAGGUUCUUGAAAUAGCCAGGGUUCCCACCGUCCCAUUUCCUCCCAGUUGCUGUGCGGUUGGGCUUGAUUGCCUCACUUAUCUCAGGACAAUGAGACGGAUUCGCCAAGCAUCCAAAUGAGGUGUAGCUUUUUCCGAGGCUGCAGGGAGAAGACAUUAAAACUGUGUCUCAUACGCUGUGAGCUGCAUAAGGAAGCAACAGCAGCAGCAACAACAAUGAAUGUGCAAACUUCUCAGAAAAAGAAGUGGAGGGAACGUUCUAGUUGCCCACCAAGUUCUGGUUCCACAAAUGCUUCUAAACUCCCAUGGGGAAUUGGAACCUUCUGGAAUUUCUCCAUUCUGGACUAUGUCGGGGCACUUAUUGUGAAAUUUUUAUUAUCAGGUUUGGUUUCUUUUCAGGAAGAUGGUGUUGGCCUGGAGAGAGGUUCACACAUGGACUGGUUUUAACUGGGCUUCUCAAGAUGCGUGUUUCUAUGUCCAGAGCAAGACUAAGAAAUAGCAUUGUUACAUUUCAUCACUUCCAGAGGGGAGAGGGGGCUACAGGUAAGAUGUCUUCCUUCAGAUCAAAUGCAAAAUACACGCCACCCGUUCCAACAUGUUACGUGGCAACAAGGCAUGCCUCUCAUAACUAAGGAUGUCCUAAAGAACAAGGGUGCCCAUCUGAACCCUAUUUGGAAGGUGGCGUAUAAAACAAGUCUACACUAAAGCCAGGCUCUUUUCCCCACCUUCACACCUUGAAUCCAUGUGGCUAAGAACCAUCAGUCUUAGAAAGCAGCCAGUUCUUCCCAUCGGCAGGGGAAAAUGAUGCUUCCUCGUAAUUAAAAGGUAUUUCUUCAGUGAAAGCCCAGUGGGAAAGUCAGUAGUAACAGUGUGAGAGAUCUAAAACCUUGGGAAUAAAAAUUUUCAAUUCCCCCAGGAAGCAAACUGUGCUCCUCAGAGGAAGCCAGUGACAAAGGGCCUUUUGUCAGUGACGACCCUGACUUAGGGAGGAUCAGUCUGAAGCUCUGAGUCAGCUCCUGGGACACCUCGCUGGAGGAGAUAACAAAGCCAGAACUGAGCUGGUCUCUGAAACUCUUCAAGGUCUCACCAAAUAUAGAGAAACUAACAUAGCAACCAAUCAAACUGGUACUAAUGUCACUGCUCCUCCCUUAUCAGUCAUGUUAGAGGCUACCCAACCCUUCCAGAAAAUCCCCCUUAGCUCUGUAUAAAAGGGGACCUGAGAGCCCCUUAGGUCAUCGCUGUUUUGAUAAAUGGUUGACUCCUGUGUGCUGAUAACUUCUGCAGACUAAACACUCUUUGUCUUUACACACUAUUUGAGUCUCGGGUCUUCUUCAGCGAUUCUUGGACGCUAACAGGUGUAUGUUGGCAGGGUUGGACCACUAGGGCCUGCUCACUGCUGUAGGUAGACUAUGCUGCAAGCCGGAUCUGUCAGUGGGACCUUUAAAGGGGUGGUGCUUUAAUGUUUUCGUAAAUGCUGUCUGAG
ensembl:lncRNA